rnacentral:rRNA from 3 species
GGGUUGUGAGGUUAAGCGACUAAGCGUACACGGUGGAUGCCCUGGCAGUCAGAGGCGAUGAAGGACGUGCUAAUCUGCGAUAAGCGUCGGUAAGGUGAUAUGAACCGUUAUAACCGGCGAUUUCCGAAUGGGGAAACCCAGUGUGAUUCGUCACACUAUCAUUACGUGAAUACAUAGCGUAAUGAAGCGAACCGGGGGAACUGAAACAUCUAAGUACCCCGAGGAAAAGAAAUCAACCGAGAUUCCCCCAGUAGCGGCGAGCGAACGGGGAGCAGCCCAGAGUCUGAAUCAGCUUGUGUGUUAGUGGAACGGUCUGGAAAGUCCGACGGUACAGGGUGAUAGUCCCGUACACCAAAAUGCACAGGUUGUGAACUCGAAGAGUAGGGCGGGACACGUGGUAUCCUGUCUGAAUAUGGGGGGACCAUCCUCCAAGGCUAAAUACUCCUGACUGACCGAUAGUGAACCAGUACCGUGAGGGAAAGGCGAAAAGAACCCCGGCGAGGGGAGUGAAAAAGAACCUGAAACCGUGUACGUACAAGCAGUGGGAGCAUCCUUUUGGGUGUGACUGCGUACCUUUUGUAUAAUGGGUCAGCGACUUAUAUUCUGUAGCAAGGUUAACCGUAUAGGGGAGCCGAAGGGAAACCGAGUCUUAACUGGGCGUUAAGUUGCAGGGUAUAGACCCGAAACCCGGUGAUCUAGCCAUGGGCAGGUUGAAGGUUGGGUAACACUAACUGGAGGACCGAACCGACUAAUGUUGAAAAAUUAGCGGAUGACUUGUGGCUGGGGGUGAAAGGCCAAUCAAACCGGGAGAUAGCUGGUUCUCCCCGAAAGCUAUUUAGGUAGCGCCUCGUGAAUUCAUCUUCGGGGGUAGAGCACUGUUUCGGCUAGGGGGUCAUCCCGACUUACCAACCCGAUGCAAACUGCGAAUACCGAAGAAUGUUAUCACGGGAGACACACGGCGGGUGCUAACGUCCGUCGUGAAGAGGGAAACAACCCAGACCGCCAGCUAAGGUCCCAAAGUCAUGGUUAAGUGGGAAACGAUGUGGGAAGGCACAGACAGCCAGGAUGUUGGCUUAGAAGCAGCCAUCAUUUAAAGAAAGCGUAAUAGCUCACUGGUCGAGUCGGCCUGCGCGGAAGAUGUAACGGGGCUAAACCAUGCACCGAAGCUGCGGCAGCGACACUAUGUGUUGUUGGGUAGGGGAGCGUUCUGUAAGCCGUUGAAGGUGUGCUGUGAGGCAUGCUGGAGGUAUCAGAAGUGCGAAUGCUGACAUAAGUAACGAUAAUGCGGGUGAAAAACCCGCACGCCGGAAGACCAAGGGUUCCUGUCCAACGUUAAUCGGGGCAGGGUGAGUCGACCCCUAAGGCGAGGCCGAAAGGCGUAGUCGAUGGGAAACAGGUUAAUAUUCCUGUACUUGGUGUUACUGCGAAGGGGGGACGGAGAAGGCUAUGUUAGCCGGGCGACGGUUGUCCCGGUUUAAGCAUGUAGGCGGAGGUUCCAGGUAAAUCCGGUACCUUUUUAACGCUGAGGUGUGAUGACGAGGCACUACGGUGCUGAAGUAACAAAUGCCCUGCUUCCAGGAAAAGCCUCUAAGCAUCAGGUAACACGAAAUCGUACCCCAAACCGACACAGGUGGUCAGGUAGAGAAUACCAAGGCGCUUGAGAGAACUCGGGUGAAGGAACUAGGCAAAAUGGUGCCGUAACUUCGGGAGAAGGCACGCUGAUAUGUAGGUGAAGUGAUUUACUCAUGGAGCUGAAAUCAGUCGAAGAUACCAGCUGGCUGCAACUGUUUAUUAAAAACACAGCACUGUGCAAACACGAAAGUGGACGUAUACGGUGUGACGCCUGCCCGGUGCCGGAAGGUUAAUUGAUGGGGUUAUCCGUAAGGAGAAGCUCUUGAUCGAAGCCCCGGUAAACGGCGGCCGUAACUAUAACGGUCCUAAGGUAGCGAAAUUCCUUGUCGGGUAAGUUCCGACCUGCACGAAUGGCGUAAUGAUGGCCAGGCUGUCUCCACCCGAGACUCAGUGAAAUUGAACUCGCUGUGAAGAUGCAGUGUACCCGCGGCAAGACGGAAAGACCCCGUGAACCUUUACUAUAGCUUGACACUGAACACUGGUCCUUGAUGUGUAGGAUAGGUGGGAGGCUUUGAAGUGUGGACGCCAGUCUGCAUGGAGCCAUCCUUGAAAUACCACCCUUUAAUGGCUGGUGUUCUAACGUGGACCCGUAAUCCGGGUUGCGGACAGUGUCUGGUGGGUAGUUUGACUGGGGCGGUCUCCUCCUAAAGAGUAACGGAGGAGCACGAAGGUUAGCUAAUCCUGGUCGGACAUCAGGAGGUUAGUGCAAAGGCAUAAGCUAGCUUGACUGCGAGAGUGACGGCUCGAGCAGGUGCGAAAGCAGGUCUUAGUGAUCCGGUGGUUCUGAAUGGAAGGGCCAUCGCUCAACGGAUAAAAGGUACUCCGGGGAUAACAGGCUGAUACCGCCCAAGAGUUCAUAUCGACGGCGGUGUUUGGCACCUCGAUGUCGGCUCAUCACAUCCUGGGGCUGAAGUAGGUCCCAAGGGUAUGGCUGUUCGCCAUUUAAAGUGGUACGCGAGCUGGGUUUAGAACGUCGUGAGACAGUUCGGUCCCUAUCUGCCGUGGGCGCUGGAGAAUUGAGGGGGGCUGCUCCUAGUACGAGAGGACCGGAGUGGACGCAUCACUGGUGUUCGGGUUGUCAUGCCAAUGGCAUUGCCCGGUAGCUAAAUGCGGAAGAGAUAAGUGCUGAAAGCAUCUAAGCACGAAACUUGCCCCGAGAUGAGUUCUCCCUGAGACUUUAAGUCUCCUGAAGGAACGUUGAAGACGACGACGUUGAUAGGUCGGGUGUGUAAGCGUAGCGAUACGUUGAGCUAACCGAUACUAAUGAACCGUGAGGCUUAACCUUACAACGCCGAAG